GCUCGAGCUCCUCCCAGUCCGCAGGGAAGCCUCGGCGAGCAGAGGCGCAGAGCCACUCCGCCGCCGGCGACUGCGAACCCUAACCCCCCAUUCCCCAAUCGACCCGCCUCCCUCCCUCAUGCGUCGGCGGGUCGUCGGCGGAGUGCCGGCCCGACGCAGCCGGCCUACGGCAGGGGCAAGAAGCUCAAGCGGCGGCGGCGAGCAGGGCAAAGCACCACUCGGUAAAGCACAGAUCAGUUGAAGGCUUGGGAAAUGAAGAAGAAGAAGGCGACAGUGGAUUGGAAGUCUCUGUGGGAAAGGACUGGGAAGGUGCAGAAGACCGCUCCCACCCCAGUGCCGGCAGGCCUGGCACCUCCGUCAAGUUUGCUUGGGUGCCUGAGGUUUUUCCUGCAGCAAGGGCUGGCUUUCCAGGGAUGGCAUGAAGAAAUUGAAGCCUCUCUGAACGAAGGAGGAAAUUUGCCUGAGCUCUUGAAAUGGCUGGCGGAAAAUUUGGAAGGAGCUGACAAGGCGGUUCUGCAGAAUGCUAUGAACGAUCCUCUAAUGACUUCUCCGGAAAUGCUGAAAGGUCUCGUCAGUGCUUGUGCUAGAGAAACCACUAGGUGUGUCGUGCGAGACCUUGGUGGUGAAAACUUUGCAAUACUUGCUUGCUUAUUUGGUGAUGCUUGCCAGAAGGAGCAGUUGGCUGUUUGUUUGCGGUACUGUAACCCACCAUCCGAAGUGUUCUCAUCAUGGUCGGAAAAGAUCAUACUCAAGGUGUCGAGGCUGGAAAUGCUCGAACGAUAUCGGUAUACAUUGAGUCAUUUGAGUUUGUUUUCAUGACACAUUUCUUGAUGAAGGUGCUUGGAAUAACUUUUACCUUAAGCAGAUCUUUGCAGAUGAGAGAUCGGUUUAUGGUUAAUGGCAUUCAUCUCAUUGAUACCUCAAAGGAACUUUUGGGGCAAUUGCGGGUUGCGGGGGGAUGACCAAUGGGAAACAUUUCUAAAAGAUGUCACUAGUUUUAGUGUGAAGCAUGACAUCAAAGUCCCUAGCAUGGAUGAUAUUUAUGAGCCAGUUUUAAGAUCAAAGAGGUGCUUCAGAAAAGUCAAGAAUCUCCACCGUUACCAUGUUGAAAUUUUCACAAGUGUCGUUGAUAGGCAACUUAAAGAGUUAAAUGACAGGUUUGAUGAGGUAAACACAGAUUUUCUUCUUGGCAUGGCAUCAAUUGAUCCAGCUAAUUCAUUUUAUCCUUAUGACAAGGAUAAGUUACUUAAACUUGCUCAGUUUUAUCCCAAAGACUUCUCAAGGAAAGAUUUGUCAAAUCUUCCCAUCCAUCUCACACGCUUUUUUGCUGAUAUGCGUGAGGAUGAAAGGUUUAGAGAAGUGAAAAGUUUUGUUGAGCUCUCAGUUAUGCUUGUUGAAACAAGGAAGAGCCUCAAACAUCCCAUUGUUUACAAGCUUCUUAAAUUGGUGCUAGUUCUUCCCAUAGCAACUGCUAGUUUUGAGAGGGUAUUUUAUGCAGUGGAUCUUGUUAUGAAUAAACUAAGAAAUAGAGUGGGGGAGCAAUUAUUGUACGAUUGCCUGGUUACAUUCAUUGAGAGGGAGGUUUGCAUGCAAGUCAAGGAUGAGGCCUUGAUAUCUUAUUUCCAAGCCAUAGUAGGAGCAUAAAGGCACAAGGAGCAUGUGGAUGUUAAGCUGAAGUUAAUGGCUGAGUAAUUCAGUAUGGACUAAGGUGCAAGAGCGAGGGAACUGUUGUGGCUUUUAGCCAAAUCCAUAAAGCAAGGGAUCUGCUGCUUGCCUGCUUACUCUUGAUGAGAAGAACCCUUGCCAUAUCUUUAAGGGUUAAGUGCUGCUUUGCUGCGUGAACUGUGAUGGGCUCCUUUGCUGAUGAGCAGAGCAAGCUAGACUGCAUCAUUGCUCUUCUGCAGAGUGCUUCCUGGCAAGGGUUGACAGGUAAAUUGUCAACAUCCCUUUGUUUAUGGUGAGGGUUGAGUCUGAGAAGCACAUUGACGAUUGACCUGUUAUUGACAAGCCCAUUCGGUGGCGGUCCCCCUGGUAGGGUGAGAAACCAGAAGAACUGAAGAAGUCAAGUGGGUCGGUGGUGAGGAAGAAGACAAGGAAUGCGAAGAUAAAAGAACCUAGUUGUUUAACGCUACAUAAUCGUCUUAAGAUGUUAAUAAUGUGAGUGGCAUGUGUAGCCCAGCCCGAGUGCACGGCCUGUGUUGGGUUUCAGAUUUUAGCAGGCUGUCCUGUAGAUGGUGGCUUUGUUUAUUUCGCACUGUUGUAAGUAGCUCCAGUUAUGAUAUGUUUGAAGACGUCUAAUGUCUUGGAA